rnacentral:lncRNA from 1 species
CACCGAUGAAGUGUCAGUCAUGCUGGUGGCUGGCAGCGACGGCAGAGCAGAGCGUGACAUGCCAGUGUUUUUUCCUGAGGGGAUGUGUGUUUUCUUGGUCUUGGAUCCACGGAGUGAUAGCAGAAUGUUCCAUUUAUUCUAUGGUUCUUUCCUUCCCUUCUUAUUUCUGCCACCAUGGCAUGAUCCAGAGCAGGGCGGUGUAACUGGGUGAUUCAACAUCACUGUUAUAGUGAUAGGAAGAGACACGGAGGAUUUUGCAACAAGUGCAAUGGGUCCAACUAAACGAGAGAUGGGACGAAUGGUAAACUUGUAGGCCUAUAUUCUACGUCGUGAGUAUGAAACCAUCACAGAAAAGAUGAGGGAUUUAUUAUGAAACGAUCAUGGAAACGAAAUAAAUAAAAGCCUCGGAAAUAGAUCGCUAUUUCUAAUUAUUUUAAAAUGCAAAGAUAAAUGAAAUGGAUGUUCUCUAUUCUCACUAAGGGCAAAUGAUUGCAUCUUGUUAUUAACCUUUUUAUUGUUAUGAAUAAACGUGUCCAUCAUAUCCACCAUUUGCACAAAACACUAAUCUACUUGCCUUCUUGAAAUGCAAUUCUUCAACCACUAGAAACGGUGCAUAUGUCUAACAGGGUUAUAUUGGUGAUUCCCCUUGCCACUUUAUUGUUAAGCCAAUGGGUUUUUGGUUUUAUUUUUGUCUUGCCUUCACCUACUCAACAUGGCAUCUUAUUGGCUGGUUUGCGUAGCUUGCUUACGAGGGAGGAUGUUUCAGUUAGAAUCGUCCCAGUGAACAAGCACCAAACCAGCGCAGGUUCUGAGGCUCAUUCGAAUGAAGGAAAGUGGUGCUGUGGAACCGCGGUGGCCCUAAGAAAACACUCAUCCUAUACAGAGGCAGUCUGUCGAGUAAGGAGGACAAGCCAUGUCUGCCACUAUAAGCAGCUUUCCUAAUAACAGUACUUUCUAACACUCAGACAUGGGUCUCAAUAACAAAGAUCUGUGCAUAUGGAGCAUGGCCAUGGUCCUAAUAGUGGUUUUGCUGUCACUUAUCUAUGGCUUGUGUUACUUCUAUGGGCUAUGUGCAAGGAAGAUAAGAUACAGCAGCCUGUCUUUGAUUUCGGUGUGAUUCUAUUAUGUGCAUCAUGUCAUG